rnacentral:rRNA from 1 species
GAUGAACGCUGGCGGCGUGCCUAAUACAUGCAAGUCGAGCGAACGGACGAGAAGCUUGCUUUUCUGAUGUUAGCGGCGGACGGGUGAGUAACACGUGGAUAACCUACCUAUAAGACUGGGAUAACUUCGGGAAACCGGAGCUAAUACCGGAUAAUAUUUUGAACCGCAUGGUUCAAAAGUGAAAGACGGUCUUGCUGUCACUUAUAGAUGAAUCCGCGCUGCAUUAGCUAGUUGGUAAGGUAACGGCUUACCAAGGCAACGAUGCAUAGCCGACCUGAGAGGGUGAUAGGCCACACUGGAACUGAGACACGGUCCAGACUCCUACGGGAGGCAGCAGUAGGGAAUCUUCCGCAAUGGGCGAAAGCCUGACGGAGCAACGCCGCGUGAGUGAUGAAGGUCUUCGGAUCGUAAAACUCUGUUAUUAGGGAAGAACAUAUGUGUAAGUAACUGUGCACAUCUUGACGGUACCUAAUCAGAAAGCCACGGCUAACUACGUG